GUGUAAAUAAGUUAGAAAACUUAGAGUAUUUUUUAAUGGGUACUUCUCUUUUAAUAAUAUAGAUGAAAAAAUAACUGAUAUCUCGCUCUAUAUAUAUGAAUUGGCUUUUCUAAUCUUUCUACAACGUAACAAACAAAAAAUAAAAAUCCAAAGUAGUAAAAUCGUGAUGAAAAAAGAGUUACUGUUCCUGACAAGUUUGAUUGUACUCUGCGUGUUUAUAAGCAGCAUUGAUGCGAAACCAAAGUCUAUUCAUUAUCUAGGUAAAGAUUGUGAUCCGAGAUUUCCCACCGCUGAAUCCAGAAAAAGAUGCUUGAAGAGCGACAGAUGCAGAGGGGGGCCCGAUUCAAUACCUCCGUUGAAGCAGUUUCUUCAAAAGUUUCUCAAAGAGUAAUGUAAACAGAACUAUGAUUACUAAAACAAUUUUACCAAAAAAAAAAUGAUUACUAAAAGACUUUUGGUCAGUAAUUUUGUUUGUUCAGAUUAGUUCCUUUUUUUAACGUCUACACAAACGUAUCAGCUUUGCUUAAAAAAACAAAGUCCGGGCCGGCCCGGCCUGACCCAAAACUGACAAAGCCAUUGUUAUUUGAGUCCAGUGCCCGGGCCGCGUAAUUUAUCAGCCAAUAUUUCAAAGCCCGAUCCGGCCUUAAAACUGUAGGCUUUUUGAACUUUAAAAAAAAUAAGUAAAUUAAAAUUUAAAAUGGAAAUAAAUUUAAUUCCAAAAUUAAAUAAUCUUCCAUGCGUUUUCCAAAAUUAAAAUAAAUUUUACAUAAUAAACCAAAUAAACAGUAAUAACAAAUAGAAAAAAAAUUCAACUCUAAUCAACAAAAAAUGUAGGAUUAAGAUCAGAAUAUUUUUCAUGACCCGACAUUCUUAUCAUAAUCAAAAACUACAUAUAAAAUAUAAAACAUCAAAUUUUUGACAUAAAUAUUAAUAGAAAAUAAAAGUUUUAUAAGUAUUAAUGAAUUACCUAGAUCGUAAAUCAUUCUAACCAAGUAUGUGUCUACAAAUUAGUGUUUCAACAUGUCUUGUUAGGAGAAGACUUCAAUAUUUGUUUAAGACAUGUGCGCUAAUACUAAAUAGACUUUGACACCACUGUACUUAUCAUUUGUUUAAGACAUGAACAUCAAUUUUAUAUUUGUUCAAGACAUGAGCAACAAUGCUAAAUAAUUUAAUAAAGAGCGAAUUGCACAGAAAUUACAUAAAGAUUUGAUAUUUUGCGGAGAUGGAAAAAACGAAAGCCCAUACAUCAGGUCUAUCUCCAGACACUGCGGAAACACCACGGUGCCCCUACUCCUUGUUUUUUUCACGUAAGAAUAUAUAGAGCGAGAGUUUUCUAAUUAUUACAUGUAAUCAUUAAUUAAUAUAUAUAUACAAAAAGUGUAAACAUCCAUGUAGCCUGAGCUGGUCUAACUAUAUCCAUCCAAGGCUGACCAAUACAGUAGCAUUAAACAACGAUACCUUAUGGCUAUUAGUCUAUUACACGAGUACGAUAUACCUUUUCGCUAUCGCAGCUGAGGAUCCAUUUCUGUCUUUUUUUGCAAACUGGUCUCUGCUCUUUUGCAUAUUUUCGGUUUUGACCCCUACAUUACAAUAGUGAAGAUAUCUCCUCAUUUUGUUUUGCCCAAAAGCCAAAACUUCUGGUUACGUACUCCAAACCUAUGUGUAUGCAAAAUGUAUAUAUGCAACUCCCAAUGACAACUAAAUGAAAGAUUUAAAAACAUAAAUGACUAAAAUAGAUGCUUAAUAAUAUACAAAACACUAUAUAUAACUAAUAUUACUUAAAAUAAAUAUUGUCAAGGAUAAAUAUAGAAUAGUCAUAUAAUAAUAAUAUUUUCUGCUAACAAACCUAUUAUCCGGCUUCUAAAAUGUUUGUUGUAGAAAAGAUAGGCUAAAAUCUCUCAAAUCAUCUAAACACUUGAUCCUAAAUAUGUUUGUAAAAAACUUCCAUCAGAUAUACACUCAUAACUCAGAAAAUUUGGCCAGAUGAAACAUUCUAUUUUCAGCUAACAACAAUAUUAGUUGUCAACAGGGUGUGAUACAAUUUUGUAGGAUUGUUUAUAGUAAAUUUUUAUUAGCUAUUUUGAUAUUUAUGUGUAAAUUUUUUAUGAGAAAUUUUUAGAAUAAUAUUUUCAUAUUAGUUGGUCAAUCUAACAUGUGAAAUGCAAUCUUUUCUAUGGAACAUAUGAAAUGUUUAUUGGGCGACGGGUGUAGAUUCAGUAUGAAGGGUUUGGUUACAACCAUUCUGUAUGUACAACAAUACUGUUAUAGAGAAUGUGCAUUUAAAAAGAAGAAAUUAACAUUAAUGUUAGGUGUAUGGAUUAUUGGAUGUACAAGCCUUCAUAUAUUCAGCUAAAAUUAAUAUUACCUAUGAUUUAAAUAACUGUUGGCUGGAUAAAGGUUUUUAAGUACAACAAACACUUUUAUUAGAUGUCGUUUUAAAAAUAGUACAAACUGGAAAAUUCUCGAAAACAAUAAUACACUAAUAUUUACUAUUAUUAUUAUUUGUUAUCUGUUCACAUAGCUUGCUAACAACGUUAUCCAUCCCAUCUAAUAUAAUAUCUAACCGUCUAUUAUAUUUGGUGCUCAUAUAGCUUGUACUAACAAAUAUGUAACUAUCGAAUGACCCACUUGGCUAGAUCGCACGAUUGAAAAAAUCCGGGUUGAUUUGCGAGGAUGUUUCUAUAAAUAUAAAAUGUUUGGGGUCAUAUUGAAAAUAACCAGAACGUCAAGGACAUGUCUUGCAAAAACAUAGAAAGUCACCAUUGGAUAGAUCAACCUUUCUCUUCGGCGGAUCUGGAGCUUGAUGGAGACCACAAGGAUGAGCACGACGGAAAGGCUUGAUUCUGAACAUGACGACGUCGGUAGAGCAAGGCGACUAAAGAUCGGUCGACGAAGGAGUAAAAUGUGUAAAUCUCGCGACGGUCUCGAAUUCGACGUAAACAGAGGUGGAAGGUGAAGCACCACCAUGAAUGGAUAAGCUUGACGGCGAUGACUUACAUUCAGACGCAGCAAUAGAUAUAGAAAACAAAUGAUUUUAGAAAGAAGAAGCAAUAAAUAAACGGAAUAAAAGUGGCAUGAAAAAA